AUUGAACGCUGGCGGCAGGCCUAACACAUGCAAGUCGAACGGUAGCACAGAGAGCUUGCUCUCGGGUGACGAGUGGCGGACGGGUGAGUAAUGUCUGGGAAACUGCCUGAUGGAGGGGGAUAACUACUGGAAACGGUAGCUAAUACCGCAUAAUGUCGCAAGACCAAAGAGGGGGACCUUCGGGCCUCUUGCAAUCGGAUGUGCCCAGAUGGGAUUAGCUUGUUGGUGAGGGAAAGGCUCACCAAGGCGGCGAUCUCUAGCUGGUCUGAGAGGAUGACCAGCCACACUGGAACUGAGACACGGUCCAGACUCCUACGGGAGGCAGCAGUGGGGAAUAUUGCACAAUGGGCGCAAGCCUGAUGCAGCCAUGCCGCGUGUGUGAAGAAGGCCUUCGGGUUGUAAAGCACUUUCAGCGGGGAGGAAGGCGGUGAGUUUAAUAAGCUCACCGAUUGACGUUACCCGCAGAAGAAGCACCGGCUAACUCCGUGCCAGCAGCCGCCGUAA
rnacentral:rRNA from 1 species